rnacentral:lncRNA from 1 species
GGGAGGAAUUGGCCGCUGUCAAAACUGCAAAAUGCAGCGAAGACGUCAUUGGAUUGGUGUUAUAGUUGGAGGCCAGAGUCUUGCACAUCCAAUUUCAUGUUUCAGCUGAUUUAUCCUUUUGUUGUGGAUACAAUUAUACAUGGUCACACAAUAUAAGCUGAGUAACUGCAUGAGUGUGUGUGUGUGUGUUACAGUGGACCCUCAGUUCUACGUCACCGUGACCAUCUCUUCGCUGCUCAUCCUGACAGCAAUCAUCAUUACAGCCAAACUCUGUUACGAUCGCAGCUGUUCCCAGCAUCCGCCCCCUCUUUCCCGUGGUGUGGCUCCCCCCCUCUCCCUCGCGCUCCCUCGUUCCCUCGCUUCGGAGGACAGCCGGCAGACACUGCACAGCACCUCCUCCUCCUUCACCGACAGGGAGAGGAUCCCAGUUGUGAACCUCUGAGGCGACUGUUUUUCCAUAUGGCAAACAAUUCUAAGGGGCCUGAAGAGAAGCAUCAACAUGACCAGAGGGUGUGCCCGCAGCGCCGUUUUAUUUUCUCUGAAACUGUGAAAUGAAUUCAGGGAUCCCAGGUAUCCAGCCACCACAAAACUCUUUGGCUUCCCUGAGGUCUAAAAAAAAUCCAAACUCAUCUCCCUGCUGCUCACUUACUCCUUUUCCCCUCACUGUGCUUGAUGUAAAUUUCUUUUUAUGUGGUUCUGCCUCACUGUGACCUGUUCUCUGUUUUACACCCUUUGAAUGGCCCCAAGCUCUGCCAAGCUACUAAACAGCCCUGUGCUUCGACCUGCCAUGACUAAUUCGCAAACAAGCAGUGUAACAGCCAUACAGCAUCCCAUUAAUCCUGAAAUGCCCUACCUGUGCUUCCACAGCUGUUUCCAGUGACUCAGCUGCACACAUGUGUUCAGUGUUAAUGCUGAUCCAUCAGGCUGAUCUUUUCAUGACACCAAUACUAAGAAAAAUCUGUUCCAUUUAGCAGUCUUGUAUCUGGCUUUUAAACAGUUAAAAAGCCAUUCUCAGCAUCUCCAAACACUGAACGGGGUAUUUCACAAAGCUGUUUGGC